rnacentral:rRNA from 1 species
UACGGGGGGGGGCAAGCGUUGUUCGGAAUUACUGGGCGUAAAGGGCUCGUAGGCGGCCAACUAAGUCAGACGUGAAAUCCCUCGGCUUAACUGGGGAACUGCGUCUGAUACUGGAUGGCUUGGAUUCGGGAGAGGAAUGCGGAAUUCCAGGUGUAGCGGUGAAAUGCGUAGAUAUCUGGAGGAACACCGGUGGCGAAGGCGGCGUUCUGGACUGUCUCUGACACUGAAGAACGAAAGCCAGGGGAGCAAACGGGG